ACGAUCAAUAAUAAUGUGCGAGGUUUACCUUGUGCAAUUAGAAUGAACCAAAGUUAAAACGCUAAAUGACGAUCAAUUGGAGGGCAAGUCUGGUGCCAGCAGCCGCGGUAAUUCCAGCUCCAAUAGGAUAUAUCAAAGUUGUUGCAGUUGAAAAGCUCGUAGCCGUAUUUCUGGUGGGUUGAUGUUCAAGUUUUUGUGUGGUGAAAGCCACAUGAGUCUUUGGGCCGCCUGCCAUUUUGUGGGUAAAAGUUGGUGGAAAUGUAUGAAAGUAUGUUUCUUCUAGCUCCACUCCGUCACUGAGAGCAAAUUGGAGUGCUCAAAGCAGGCUUUACAGCUUUGAACAUCUUAGCUUGGAAUGACAAAGUACGACUACUCGUUCACUUUGUUGGUUAUGAAUGGGAAGUAAUGAUAAAUAGGAACAGUUGCGGGGCUACUCGUACUGGAAAGUCAGAGGUGAAAUUCUUGGAUUUUUCCACGACGAACGACUGCGAAAGCAUUUAGCAAGGAUGUUUUCAUUGAUCAAGAACGAAAGUGCGAGGAUCGAAGAUGAUUAGAUACCAUCGUAGUUCACGCAGUAAACGAUGCCGUCUCGGGAUUGAGAUCUUUUUCGCUUUCUAGAAGGAUCUCAGCACCGUAUGAGAAAUCAAAGUCUUUGGGUUCCGGGGGGAGUAUGGUCGCAAGGUUGAGACUUAAAGGAAUUGACGGAAGGGCACACCAGAGGUGGAGCCUGCGGUUUAAUUUGACCCAACACGGGGAAACUCACCAGGUCCAGACAUGAGAAGGAUUGACAGUUUGAGAGCACUUUCUUGAUUUCAUGGGUGGUGGUGCAUGGCCGUUCUUAGUUGGUGGAGUGAUUUGUCUGGUUGAUUCCGAUAACGAACGAGACUCUCAGAGUAAACUGGCCUUUGGUCGUAAUUCACGUUACUUCCGGUCUCUUUUCUCGACAAUUCGUUUUAAACGAAAGGAAGCAGGGAUCGAAAACAGGUCUGUGAUGCCCCUCGAUGUUCUGGGCUACACGCGCGCUACAAUGACGAGUUCAACGAGUUAUUUCUCCUUGCCCGGAAGGGUGUGGGUAAUCUUUUCAAUGCUCGUCGUGAUGGGGCUAGAUUUUUGCAAUUAUUAAUCUUCAACGAGGAAUCUCUAGUAUGUGCAGUUCAUCAGACUGCGCAGAAUGCGUCCCUGCCCUUUGUACACACCGCCCGUCGCACCUACCGAUUGGACGAUCCGGCAAGAUGUUUGGAGUUGGGUUUUUUGCAUUUUCGGAUGCAUUGAAUCUGGCGAAGCUCCUCAAACCUUAUCGUCUAGA
rnacentral:rRNA from 1 species